rnacentral:rRNA from 1 species
UACGUAGGGUCCAAGCGUUGUCCGGAUUUAUUGGGCGUAAAGAGCUCGUAGGCGGUUCGGUAAGUCGGAUGUGAAAACUCAGGGCUCAACCCGGAGACGCCAUCCGAUACUGCUGUGACUCGAGUCUGGUAGGGGAACACGGAAUACCUGGUGUAGCGGUGAAAUGCGCAGAUAUCAGGUGGAACACCGAUGGCGAAGGCAGUGUUCUGGGCCAGUACUGACGCUGAGGAGCGAAAGCGUGGGGAGCAAACAGG